UCCAGACUGUCUGGGGGGGGGGGGGAUGGGGGGGGGGAAAUCCAUAGCCCUGUACCAGCCCUGCUUGGAACUGAGUCUGGAAAUUCCUCCUCUGAUCCAGCAAUUAGUGUUGGGCAAUUGUGGCAAGUCUGUGCUCUGUCACUAAACUGUCAAAACAGGCUGCUCUUCUUUUUGAGGUGGUCCCACUUGUUGGCAACUCUAAUAUCUCUGAAUGUGUUGGCCAAACUAUUUUGGAGAGAAUUCUUUGUUUCUCCACACAGUGAAACAUACUCCUUACCGAAGUACAGAGUCCUACUGGGACACUCUUAUUGGCUACAGAAUUGGCAAAUGUCACACUCAUUCUGAUGACCCUUCUAAACUUUCUUAGAAAGUGUAUUCAUUACAGCAGCAUUUUAGGAAAGCACACACUUGGAAGUAACUUAAGUCUCCUUCAACAGAUGAUUUAAAAAAGUAAUGUGUGUACACACACACACGGAAACACUUGCAAGUAACCUAAAUGUCCUUUGAUAGACGAUGUAAAAAAUAAUGUACACACACACACUUGGAAACACUCGAAAGUCACCUAAACAUCCUUCACUAGAUGAUUUAAAAAAUCAUGCACGCGCACACACACACACUCACAAAAUAGGAGACCAUGCAGCUAUUUAAAAGAGAAAAAGUAGAUUUGUAAGUGCUGUUAUGAAAAGACGGUCAAGGUAUAUUGUGAGGAUGAAAAAAGUUAGAUGCUGAGCAAAGAGAUAGUUGCUCCCAUUUAUGUAAAAUAUGUGAGUGUGUGCAAUAUGUAAUUACAUAGCCAUUAAAAUCUGAAACAAAGGCAUUAAUUAUUGGUGAGGGGUAUUCUGAAAGGACUUUGAUUUCUCCAUAUCAUUUUAAUUUCUAAGCCAUGAUCAGGUAUUACUGGGGAAAAGAGGAAUAAAUAUAAUUUUAUAAUAUUUUUAGAGAAGAAAUAUAAAAUGUUGCUCAUCGUUUCCUCCACCCCCCCCCAAUAUCCUGACUGUCUGGGGUCAGUGGGCAGGUCUGCCCAAUUUAAACUCCCUCCUCCUGCCCAUCCUGUCCUCCCAAACAUCUCUAUACUUAGAAAAGUAUUUUCACAUACAUUAUCUCAUUAGACUCCAGUUGUUCACCCGUUUACUUUUAUUAGGCAAUGAGAGUAUAAACACCAAUUAGAAGAGGACAGCCCAGCAGUUGAGAGCCAUGGGCCCCGAAGCAAGGCAGACAGGCCUUUCAAGGGCAACUCCUCCACCUCCUAGCUGUGGGACCUCGAGCAAGUGAUUUCACUCCUCUGAACCUCAAACUCCUCACCUGGAAAAUGGAGCUAAUCAUUUACCGUGGGAAUGUAAUGAAUUAUUACAUGUAAAAUGCUUAGCACAGUCCCUUGCUCAUUAUGAACCAUCGAGAAAUGCUAGCUAUUUGGUUUUUAUUUUAAAGAUUUAACAAAGGUUUUUUUUUUUUUAAGAACAGCAAACACGGAGGAAAAAAAAAACAGAGCUUUAAAAGCCCAAGUAUCUCCAAACAGCACAAAAAUAACUCAGUUAUUCUUUCCAAAGGUGUUUAUUGUUAAAGUCUUCUUGUGUUUCCUUUCCCAGAAAAAAAUACUUAUAUGCUGGCAUAUGAAGCCAUCUUCUAUAUGUAUUUUAAAAAUUAAUACAAAAUUGAUCUUACUAUACACAGCAUUCUGCACCUUGCUUUUUUCCGCUUAUGAAAUUUUUUUACAUUUAUGUUAAAAUCCUUCUCAUAAAUAUUGCUGAAUUGUCCUUUGAAAAGAUCACACCAAUUCACAUUCCCUACCAAGGCAGUAUAGCCAACACAGACAAGUGUUGUUUCCUUACAACCUCACCCCAGGCAUUACUAAUUGUUGCCUCAUUUUACUGCUAUCAUCAUUUGCUUUAGGGUAUUUUCAGGACUGACAAAUGCAGGCUGGUAUUGUACAAGGAAUCUGCACGUCAGUCAGACAGUCCUAACGUUGCCCCUUGCCAGCUAGAUCUCCAAAGUUGGGCAUAAUAGCAGUAUCCAACUCAUAGGGCUCCUUUGAAGUACCAAUGUGCCAAUCCAUUCAAAGCACUUAGCCUUCCAAGCACUAACUGCUAAAUACAUGUAAACUGUGCGAAUAAUAACUUUCCACUCCCAAGGCUCCAGGUUGGGGGAGGGGUCACUUCUCCGGAGAGUGUGCCCUUGAGAUUCAGAACGUUUGCUUUAAUGCCAUUCUCAACCUCCACUCCCAAAGUAAUUAUUGCUCGGAUGAUCAUUUUCAAGAAUGCAGCUGAGUUUUAAACCAUAGCGUGAAGAAAUCUUAGGGUAGAAACUAUGCAGAAUAUGUAAGUUACAGGUACAUCGUCUCAUUUUAUGCAAUUAGUUGGGCACAAGUUUCAAGUGCACAACAGUUUGCUUCAGGCGCUAGUUGUUUGCUUCUCUUAUUCCUCCCCUCCAGUCGAUACCUCCUUGUGAUCCCUGGAGCCACUAAACUGUUCUGGAUAAUUUCCCCUCACUUCCACCUUCCAAACGAGCCCUCUCACCUUCCAGGUCCUGGGCAAAAAUACCAAAGCAAAACAAGCCAGGUUCGAUCUAGGUCCCAGACGCUUGCUUUCUUUUUUGCUUGAAGUUGCCUUGGAGUUAGCAGAAAGCUGAGUCUGCAGUGUCCACGGUCUUUGACGAUAGAUAGCAGUCUUCAGAAGAGCAUCACCUCAUCUCAUUUCAGUGCUUUAAGGAGGCCCCUUGAUAUCAGAUUGUCCUGGGGUCUUUCCAGCCUCUGCGAUUCCAAUCCUCUUUUUCAAAUCCUGCCUCCAGCUACUUCAGCAGUCAGUACUGUGUGUCCAGUUCCCUCUGGGUACACAGAACCAAUUUUCUACCUUUAUUAUCUUUUUUUCAUUAUAAAAAUUUUUUUGGAAAAAAAAAUGGUAAGGGGUAAUCCCACGACCCAAAGAAAUCACCAUUAUAUCUUAAUGCCUUUCACAAAUUUUUUUUUUCUCUGAGAGUGACCAAAUAUUUUUUAAACUAAGAAUAGAGUCAUAUAAUUUUGUAAGCUGCCUCUCUCACUUGCUGAAACCUCAUGUCUGUGUAAAGUGUUAAAAAUACUCCUGUACCCCGGGUAGCCUGCGUACAUCUUUCCCCCCAUAGCUUUAGCUUUCCUGUAACCCCCAGUAGUAUUUCAUCACAUUCAACCUUGCCCACCUGGAAUCCGAGACCAACCAAUGGGAUUUCACCGGAAGGGCUAAUGACCACCGAGGCCGCUACCUCGGCCCAGCCCGGCCAGGCAGACGCACCUCUGGAGACACAAAACUCUUGUUUUCCAGAUGUGACAGCUGAGCGAGUGAGUUCCUCGGAACGCAGGGGCCUACCAAAUAGAAAAGAAGACAUAACACACUUCCCUGUUGCUUCGACAUCAGUGAGGAACCUCGCCAUGGCUCGAGAGAUCCUCAUUUUGGAAAGCAAACCAAGGAAUUAAUGUGCGAAUGGCAAGUGUGCGUAUGAAACAAUGCACAUCUACUCCGACUGCAUUCAGAUUUUCUGAAAGUCUACAGAAAAGUGAAUGGCCUGGAGAGAGGAGAAUCAACUCAUGCCACGUCACGGCAAUCGCAAAUGUACCCAAAUGGUGACCGACAGACACUGUAGUUAUCUCCCGUGCCCAUCUCGACUUAUCCACUAGCAAUCGGCAUCCCGUAUUGUAUCACAUGCCAAUUCUACAGCCACUCUUGUUUUCCCUUUGGGAGUGCAACAAUUAUACAGAGGAAGCACCACGGAAGCAUGCACUUUGCGUUCCCACACAGAGCUCUGAGGUGAAAGGACAAGGGAGCAGAGUCACAAAAUGCCAAGACGGAGACUCAUUUCAAGAACUUGCAGACAUCUGGUUCUUCUAAUCAUAUGCAUAUAAUAUUUCUGUUAGUAUCAACGGAAGUGUUUUUAAUUCCUACAGGACACAGCCAGUAACGGCGGCCUCACCCAACAGUGAGUGCUCCUACUAUGUGGCUGGCAUUUUGACGUGUUCGUUUAAUCUGGAGAACCCUGUUAGGCCCUUUUUGGGCUCCGCAUCUACUUUGACGGACCAAUGGGAUGGAGGUCAAGCUAUUGCAAACUCUUGAAAAGGAUGAAAGGAACGGGAUGAAAGGAACGGGACUGACAGGAGAUGGAGGGGUGAGGUGGAAUAAUUCCUGCCUGUAUGGCACAGAGCUAUUUUCUCCUGGUCUGUUCCUGGUACCCGUGGAAACCACAGGAGCUGUGAACUCCCCAGGAGCUCUGAGAGGGAAACAAGUCACUUUCCUUGUCUUCUUCUAAUACAAAACUGUUUCGAGAUGGCUACCGUAUUGUAUUGGUGGCUAAUUUAAGGAUCUGUGUGUAACUGGUUAUUAAAAACAUUGCAUACCCCUAAAAAGUCAUUUUGAAAUGAUUCUAUUGUGCCUGGUUUCCGUGCAGGUGGCACUUCAUCCUAGAACACUAUAGAACCCAUCACAAAAUGCUACAGAAUGCUCUAGCUUUGCUUAAGGCAUCCUCUUGCAACAUCUCAGUAUUGAGUGUUUUCGAUCUUAUGGAUAACUUUUCUUGGGGAGGAACUGUUUUGUUGUACUUCAGAAAUUUAACACUUGAAGUAUUUUACAAUUUCUUAGUAACUGAUGUAAAGCUAGGAACGAAAUGUCCAUUCUGACUAGAUAAGGAAAUGUUUUUCAAAAUAUUUCCGCUGCAAUUUUUAGGGUGAAAUAGAGAAAUAGCAGGGUCAGUAUUUGACCACAGUGGCAACCAUCUAGGACCUGAGGGUGUAGGACUGUUGUGAUUCCAUAAAGACGUGAAACAUAUGACAGCACCAUACUGAACCUUAAAUACUCAGCAGAUAUCCAGCCAUAUCAUUCAGUCACUCGUCUCUUGCAUAGUCACAAUAGAAAAACACAUUUUUCAGGUUAGAAAAAGUUGAGAAUUUUUGUACAAA